CAGACUCUUCCCUUUUUGGUGCACAGGCCCUCGGCAAGGAGUUUCCCGCAAGUACACCACGGUUAAUUCAGGUUUUACCCAGUCUGAUAGCCCUCAGAAAUUGUUUGCACCCAGUGGGUUUCGAACUUGAGACCUUUAAAGGGAGCAAACCCAAGAUAUUCUUUGGUGCACAGGCCCUCGGCAAGGAGUUUCCCGCAAGUACACCACGGUUAAUUCAGGUUUUACCCAGUCCGAUGGCCCUCAAAAAUUAUUUGCACCCAGUGAAUUUCGAACUUAAGACCUUGAAAGGAGCAAACCCCAAGGCUCAAGUCAAUUGCCACCAGGCCAACCCCUGGUACUCGGACUCAUACCUUAACAGCCAACAAUCAGCACAAAUAGAUUAUCCUAGGGGUAGCAGUUUCAAUAUUUUUGACAAACAGAUGGUUGUGGGAACAACCUGUUAUUGUGUCAGUAUCCGUGUCACAAAUUACUUUUCAAGAUGAUUGUGCCCCAUACAACUACAAUUC
rnacentral:lncRNA from 1 species